rnacentral:rRNA from 1 species
AUUGAACGCUGGCGGCAUGCUUUACACAUGCAAGUCGAACGGCAGCGCGGGCUUCUGCCUGGCGGCGAGUGGCGAACGGGUGAGUAAUACAUCGGAACGUGCCCAGUAGUGGGGGAUAGCUCGGCGAAAGCCGGAUUAAUACCGCAUACGACCUGAGGGUGAAAGCGGGGGAUCUUCGGACCUCGCGCUAUGGGAGCGGCCGAUGGCAGAUUAGCUAGUUGGUGGGGUAAAGGCCUACCAAGGCGACGAUCUGUAGCUGGUCUGAGAGGACGACCAGCCACACUGGAGCUGAGCCACCGCCCAGACUCCUACGGGACGCCGCAGUCGGCAAUUUUAGACAAUGGGCGAAAGUAUGACCCAGCAGUCGCGCGUGUGUGAUGAAGGCCUUCGGGUUGUAAAGCAGUUCUGGCGGGAACGAACGGGACUGUGCCAAUACCACGGUUCGGUGACGGUACCCGCAGAAUAAGCACCGGCUAACUACGUG